UACGUAGGGGGCAAGCGUUGUCCGGAUUUAUUGGGCGUAAAGAGCGUGUAGGCGGCUUGGUAGGUCCGCUGUGAAAACUCGAGGCUCAACCUCGAGAUGUCGGCGGAAACCACUUGGCUAGAGUCCGGAAGAGGAGAGUGGAAUUCCUGGUGUAGCGGUGAAAUGCGCAGAUAUCAGGAAGAACACCUAUGGCGAAGGCAGCUCUCUGGGACGGUACUGACGCUGAGACGCGAAAGCGUGGGUAGCAAACAGG
rnacentral:rRNA from 1 species